rnacentral:rRNA from 1 species
UACGUAGGUGGCAAGCGUUGUCCGGAUUUAUUGGGUUUAAAGGGUGCGUAGGCGGACUUAUAAGUCAGUGGUGAAAUCUCGAUGCUUAACAUCGAACGUGCCAUUGAUACUGUAGGUCUUGAGUACAGAUGCCGUUGGCGGAAUGUGUCAUGUAGCGGUGAAAUGCAUAGAUAUGACACAGAACACCGAUUGCGAAGGCAGCUGACGAAACUGUAACUGACGCUGAGGCACGAAAGCGUAGGGAUCAAACAGG